rnacentral:lncRNA from 1 species
UUAUCUAGAGAUGACAAGGCCCUCAAGUUGGCUUUCCAGCACUGGAUCGAAGCGAUGAGUACAAACGGGCAGUGGGGAUUGGUGGGUUUUACUGCCCAUUCUUGCUCUUUUCAUGGUACAAUUAUCAUGUUUUUUUCCUACAGUGAUGUUUUAUUUUGUGGCAACAUCUUUCGACCAUAAACAGAUACACUCACUUUGACGAAUGUUGAUAUACUUUCAGCAUUCAAUUGUAGAUAGAAUUCUUGCUUUCGUGUAGAUCUAGGUCAUCGCGUCGCUGUCUUUGUUUGGCUGGUUGUAGAGCCUGCGCCUUAGGUUUGUUUAGCUCCUCGGUUCUUCUAGCUCCGGUAUGGUUUCCUUUUUGCGCAUAGUGGCGGCAUCUGAUGCAUAGUUCGACGGUCCCUCGCGUUGCUCCGGUAUGUCGUGUUCCUCUCAUAUUGCUUCGUCUAUUUUUUGGCCUAUUGUAGAAUUGUUUUGUUUGUUUCCCGUUUUCUUUGAAAUAUGAACUGUUGAUUUUCCUGUAGACUCCAACUGACAAAGUUAAAGCAAAGAUGAAGCUUCACCUUAUAGAGACAGGUGAUGACUCUUUCAGUUCAUGGAAUCAACAUGGCACAAAGAAGUUUUCGGCCUGUCAUUGUCAAUAUCAUUUUGAGACCCAGCUUCUUGAGAUGCUAUCAAUGAGCUAAGAUCAGCAACUGCACAUGCCUUACCCUCAGCAACUCCAGGAGAUACCGCACUCUCUUCUGAAGGAACUAUUUUUGCAUUGCGAACUGGAGCUGUUUUAACCUCCAUCAUAUCGACCCCUUUGACAUCAACAUCCUGCACCACAGGUACCUUAGGAGAAACAAUGAGCUCCCCCGGUUCUUUUAUCAUAUCAAAUGUAUCACAUAUAUCGGCACUUCCAGAACCUUUGAUGUCCCACUAGAAGGUGACAGAUUUUCUUUAUGUGUCACCCCUGUGGGAGAACUUUCAAGAGUAGUUACAACCUCAGUAUUCAUAGAUUUAAGUUCGCCUUCCAAUGGAUCAAUCUGGAGUUCAGUCUUUUCAAUCUCCUUGGAGAUGCUUUCCUUCGGUUGGAGUAGCUUACAUGUACUGGUGGGGCCAUUUGAAUCCCCAGAACAAGAAUCAUUAUGUUGCAUAAGUUCAACAAGAAUGUUUGUAUGGCCAUUAAUAGGAUCAUCACCGAGCUUUCCUAUUUUUGAUUUCCA